GACGAACGCUGGCGGCGUGCCUAAUACAUGCAAGUAGAACGCUGAAGGAGGAGCUUGCUCUUCUGGAUGAGUUGCGAACGGGUGAGUAACGCGUAGGUAACCUGCCUGGUAGCGGGGGAUAACUAUUGGAAACGAUAGCUAAUACCGCAUAACAGUAGAUGUUGCAUGACAUUUUCUUAAAAGGUGCAAUUGCACCACUACCAGAUGGACCUGCGUUGUAUUAGCUAGUUGGUGGGGUAACGGCUCACCAAGGCGACGAUACAUAGCCGACCUGAGAGGGUGAUCGGCCACACUGGGACUGAGACACGGCCCAGACUCCUACGGGAGGCAGCAGUAGGGAAUCUUCGGCAAUGGACGGAAGUCUGACCGAGCAACGCCGCGUGAGUGAAGAAGGUUUUCGGAUCGUAAAGCUCUGUUGUAAGAGAAGAACGAGUGUGAGAGUGGAAAGUUCACACUGUGACGGUAUCUUACCAGAAAGGGACGGCUAACUACGUG
rnacentral:rRNA from 1 species